UUUUAUGAUAAGAAGCGAGUCACCUUUGUUGACUGGUCGUAAUUGCAGUGGUUGGACCAAAGACGAAGGGCAUUUUUGUGGUCUGAUUUCCUGUUAAAAAAGCAAGUGGUGGGUGGAUAGAGCGAGAGAGAGAUGAGAGAGAAAGUAGCAGUGGUUCUUCUCUUAUUUUUCUUGGCAUCUCAAAUGGGUAGAGGGGAGGCCUCUGCUGCUGAUUGCAAUGACGCCUGCAGUACCGCCUGCGUUCAGAAAGACACGAGGCUAAUGGCACGCUGCGAACUCAAGUGCCAAAUAAAAUGCGAGCCAGGCAAAGAUCAUUGGGGGUCCAUAAAUAUGUAUUGAAACAUUGACAAUUGCAUCUCACCUUUUUAUGGACAUAAGACACUUAAGGAAUUGGGAGAAUCUGGCUGCAUCGUUUGGCCCGUGUCAAGUCCAUCCCAUUUAGCUUGAUUAUUAGGGCCCGAUGAGUAGCUGAGCUAGAGAUGCACAUGUGUAUAAGGGACCAACUAGUGGGAACCCACAAAUCCUACUUAUUUAAUAUCAGUGGGAACCCGAAUAUUUUCUUAUGGACCUGAAUAACCCUAGACUUUGCACUAUGUCAUAAAUGAUAUCAGAUUUUAUUUAUUCAGGUUAAACAUUUUGUUUUACAUGGUGAUGCUAGUAUCUAAUGAUGUAGCUAUGGUUUUGAUGGGCUUUAAGCUCCCAAAUAUAUGGUUAAUGAAUCUCUUUUUUAUCAUUUAUUUAAAUAAAUAAUUUUUUUAAUUUAAAUUUUACUCCAUGUUGGGCUGUGCCUGAGCUCAAGCUCUUGCUUCAUAAGUUAGAGUUGGUUGGAUAUGUAUCUUCCCAGCCGGGCUUCUUUUGCCCUCCUUAUUAUUGGUUGCUUAGUCUGUUUUUUGUUGUGCGGGUGUCCUCGAUGUAAACCAAUCAACUUUGAAGCCAAACGCCAAACGCCAAACACUAAAAUAAGUACAUACGUCCAAUAUGAACGUAUAUGACUAGAUUAGGAUAAUAUAGAUUGCUUAUUUAACCACUUGCAGAAGUUUAUAAUGAUCAAGAGAUAAUUGGAGGGUGGGGUUCUUCCUCCAAAGAUGGGUAACUUUGUGCCUUCCACAAGAAAUUAAUUUCAGCAUACCAGUGCAAAUCAAAUAAAAGGGAA